AAACCUUGACACUUACCUUGUUCAAAUUUCCUCUUAAUUAACAGCCCCCUUAUGUCCCCACAUAUCACAGGAAGUACUUGAGGAUGAAAAUUCAGAAA